rnacentral:rRNA from 1 species
GUGGGGAAUAUUGGACAAUGGGCGCAAGCCUGAUCCAGCAAUGCCGCGUGGGUGAAGAAGGUCUUCGGAUCGUAAAGCCCUUUCGACGGGGACGAUGAUGACGGUACCCGUAGAAGAAGCCCCGGCUAACUUCGUGCCAGCAGCCGCGGUAAUACGAAGGGGGCUAGCGUUGCUCGGAAUUACUGGGCGUAAAGGGCGCGUAGGCGGUCAUUUUAGUCAGGCGUGAAAUUCCCGGGCUUAACCUGGGGACUGCGCUUGAUACUGGGUGACUUGAGGGUGGAAGAGGGUCGUGGAAUUCCCAGUGUAGAGGUGAAAUUCGUAGAUAUUGGGAAGAACACCGGUGGCGAAGGCGGCGACCUGGUCCAUUACUGACGCUGAGGCGCGACAGCGUGGGGAGCAAACAGG